AGUGAACGCUGGCGGUAGGCCUAACACAUGCAAGUCGAACGGCAGCACAGUAAGAGCUUGCUCUUACGGGUGGCGAGUGGCGGACGGGUGAGGAAUACAUCGGAAUCUACUUUUUCGUGGGGGAUAACGUAGGGAAACUUACGCUAAUACCGCAUACGACCUACGGGUGAAAGCAGGGGAUCUUCGGACCUUGCGCGAUUGAAUGAGCCGAUGUCGGAUUAGCUAGUUGGCGGGGUAAAGGCCCACCAAGGCGACGAUCCGUAGCUGGUCUGAGAGGAUGAUAAGCCACACGGGAACUGAGACACGGUCCAGAAACAAACGGGAGGCAGCAGAGGGAAAUGUUGGACAAAGGGGGGAAAAAUGAACAAGCCAUACCGCGUGGGUGAAGAAGGCCUUCGGGUUGUAAAGCCCUUUUGUUGGGAAAGAAAAGCAGCAGGUUAAUACCCCGCUGUUCUGACGGUACCCAAAGAAUAAGCACCGGAUAACUUCGUG
rnacentral:rRNA from 1 species